rnacentral:rRNA from 1 species
GCCAGACUCCUACGGGAGGCAGCAGUGGGGAAUAUUGGGCAAUGGGCGCAAGCCUGACCCAGCAACGCCGCGUGAAGGAAGAAGGCUUUCGGGUUGUAAACUUCUUUUGUCAGGGACGAAGCAAGUGACGGUACCUGACGAAUAAGCCACGGCUAACUACGUGCCAGCAGCCGCGGUAAUACGGAGGAUGCGAGCGUUAUCCGGAUUUAUUGGGUUUAAAGGGUGCGUAGGCGGUCCGUUAAGUCAGCGGUAAAAUUGCGGGGCUCAACCCCGUCGAGCCGUUGAAACUGGCAGACUUGAGUUGGAGAGAGGUAUGCGGAAUGCGCGGUGUAGCGGUGAAAUGCAUAGAUAUCGCGCAGAACUCCGAUUGCGAAGGCAGCAUGCCGGCUCCACACUGACGCUGAGGCACGAAAGCGUGGGUAUCGAACAGGAUUAGAUACCCUUGUA